rnacentral:rRNA from 1 species
CUGGAGGUAUCAGAAGUGCGAAUGCUGACAUAAGUAACGAUAAAGCGGGUGAAAAGCCCGCUCGCCGGAAGACCAAGGGUUCCUGUCCAACGUUAAUCGGGGCAGGGUGAGUCGACCCCUAAGGCGAGGCCGAAAGGCGUAGUCGAUGGGAAACAGGUUAAUAUUCCUGUACUUGGUGUUACUGCGAAGGGGGGACGGAGAAGGCUAUGUUGGCCGGGCGACGGUUGUCCCGGUUUAAGCGUGUAGGCUGGUUUUCCAGGCAAAUCCGGAAAAUCAAGGCUGAGGCGUGAUGACGAGGCACUACGGUGCUGAAGCAACAAAUGCCCUGCUUCCAGGAAAAGCCUCUAAGCAUCAGGUAACAUCAAAUCGUACCCCAAACCGACACAGGUGGUCAGGUAGAGAAUACCAAGGCGCUUGAGAGAACUCGGGUGAAGGAACUAGGCAAAAUGGUGCCGUAACUUCGGGAGAAGGCACGCUGAUAUGUAGGUGAAGUCCCUCGCGGAUGGAGCUGAAAUCAGUCGAAGAUACCAGCUGGCUGCAACUGUUUAUUAAAAACACAGCACUGUGCAAACACGAAAGUGGACGUAUAC